rnacentral:RNase_P_RNA from 1 species
CAAGCAGGCCAGGUAAUCGCGGCUGUACAGACGAAAGGGUGCAGACGAGGAAAGUCCGGGCUUCACAGGGCAGGAUGCCGGAUAACGUCCGGUGGAGGUGACUCCCAGACCAGUGCAACAGAAAUAAACCGCCUUUUUUGUGAAUCCGUUCACAGGAAGGGUAAGGGUGGAAAGGCAGUGUAAGAGACUACCGCCUUUCUGGUAACAGGAAGGGCACAUGUAAACUCCAUCUGAAGCAAGACCGAAUAGAAAGCGAUACGGCGGCCCGUCGUGCUUUCAGGUGGGUCGCUUGAGCCGUUUGGCAACAAACGGCCUAGAUAGAUGAUUACCCAACGACAUAACCCGGCUUAUAAGUCGGCUUGCGCA